GAUGAACGCUGGCGGCGUGCCUAAUACAUGCAAGUCGAGCGAACAGACGAGGAGCUUGCUCCUCUGACGUUAGCGGCGGACGGGCGAGUAACACGUGGAUAACCUACCUAUAAGACUGGGAUAACUUCGGGAAACCGGAGCUAAUACCGGAUAAUAUAUUGAACCGCAUGGUUCAAUAGUGAAAGACGGUUUUGCUGUCACUUAUAGAUGGAUCCGCGCCGCAUUAGCUAGUUGGUAAGGUAACGGCUUACCAAGGCAACGAUGCGUAGCCGACCUGAGAGGGUGAUCGGCCACACUGGAACUGAGCCACGGUCCAGACUCCUACGGGAGGCAGCAGUAGGGAAUCUUCCGCAAUGGGCGAAAGCCUGACGGAGCAACGCCGCGUGAGUGAUGAAGGUCUUCGGAUCGUAAAACUCUGUUAUUAGGGAAGAACAAAUGUGUAAGUAACUAUGCACGUCUUGACGGUACCUAAUCAGAAAGCCACGGCUAACUACGUG
rnacentral:rRNA from 1 species